GGACCCGCACAAGCGGUGGAUGAUGUGGAUUAAUUCGAUGCAACGCGAAAAACCUUACCUACCCUUGACAUGUCAGGAAUUUUGCAGAGAUGCGAAAGUGCUCGAAAGAGAACCUGAACACAGGUGCUGCAUGGCUGUCGUCAGCUCGUGUCGUGAGAUGUUGGGUUAAGUCCCGCAACGAGCGCAACCCUUGUCAUUAGUUGCUACGCAAGGGCACUCUAAUGAGACUGCCGGUGACAAACCGGAGGAAGGUGGGGACGACGUCAAGUCCUCAUGGCCCUUAUGGGUAGGGCUUCACACGUCAUACAAUGGUUGGUACAGAGGGUUGCGAACCGCGAGGGGAAGAU
rnacentral:rRNA from 1 species